UCGGGUUGUAAAGCACUUUUGUCCGGAAAGAAAACUCUCGUCCUAAUACGAUGGGGGGAUGACGGUACCGGAAGAAUAAGCACCGGCUAACUACGUGCCAGCAGCCGCGGUAAUACGUAGGGUGCGAGCGUUAAUCGGAAUUACUGGGCGUAAAACGUGCGCAGGCGGUCUGUUAAGACCGAUGUGAAAUCCCGGGCUUAACCUGGGAACUGCAUUGGUGACUGGCAGGCUUUGAGUGUGGCAGAGGGGGGUAGAAUUCCACGUGUAGCAGUGAAAUGCGUAGAGAUGUGGAGGAAUACCGAUGGCGAAGGCAGCCCCAUGGGCCAACACUGACGCUCAUGCACGAAAGCGUGGGGAGCAAACAGGAUUAGAUACCCUGGUAGUCCACGCCCUAAACGAUGUCAACUAGUUGUUGGGGAUUCAUUUCCUUAGUAACGUAGCUAACGCGUGAAGUUGACCGCCUGGGGAGUACGGUCGCAAGAUUAAAACUCAAAGGAAUUGACGGGGACCCGCACAAGCGGUGGAUGAUGUGGAUUAAUUCGAUGCAACGCGAAAAACCUUACCUACCCUUGACAUGGUCGGAAUCCUGCUG
rnacentral:rRNA from 1 species